rnacentral:lncRNA from 1 species
CUCCAGGAAGCCCACCUGGCCUGCUCUGUACCUUGGAGCCUCCCAGGCAUGGCUGGCACCCCCAUCAGAAGUUACCUGUUUGGAUAUGGUCCCCCCAUUGCCUUCUGUGGGCUCCCAUGUGUCCUGGUGAUGACCUCAGGCUGCACAUGGUCUCAUGUCCAGGGCCCUGCCAUUCGAGGCCACACCCUCUGAGCAGCUUGGGCUCCAGCACCCCCCGCUGAGAUUCCUAGGUCAGUGCCAGCCUCAGACUUAGGAAGGUGGGCAUGUGGGAGGUAGGGAAGGCCAGGGUUGUCAUGGCAAAACCCUGUACCCACUCUGUCUUCCCACCCCCCUGAGAACCCCUCAGAACAGGCCUGGGCCACCUCCUCUGGGCCAGACUUAAAGAAAGGCCUGCCCAGCCCCAGCAGGUGAGCUGGAACCCUUCUCCCCAGAUAAGCCACGCCCCAUGCUCUCCCCCACCUCCAUCAAGGCUGGGGUGCAGCCGAGGAGAUCCAGCAGAGGCCGAGGCUCUGAGUGGGAUGCUCGAAACCUGUGGGCUGUGCAACCUCCUCACCUCCCUGAGCCUCGCUUGCCCGUCUGUGAAAUGGGGCUGAAGACCUGAGGUGAACAGAGAAAUAAAUGGGCCUUUGAGAAGGGACAAUACAGUAUAACAAAGCUGGAAUUCAACCUGCCCUUGGAACAUCCCCUCACCCUGGAGGCCUGACUUCAUGGCCACCUCAUGAGGGGACCUUUGUAGUUGAAGACCCUCCGAUCUUAUGCGGGGUGGGGCUGGGCCUGGAACCUGCCACAGUGCUGCUCUGAAAGGCACACGUGUCUCACAUUCACUGGUAUAAAAUGACAGACGUGGAACGGGAAAUCGAGCUCCCUGCAUUCCUGCAUGCAUGGCACCUGCACAGUUCCUUCCCGUUAUUGUCCUGUGUGACACCCCCCCCAGUGAGGUCACAGUACUGGGAUCGCCCCCACAGGCAGAGUGCUCAGGAAUGUGGAGCGUGCCUGGGAUCUGCCCUCCAGCCAUGAGGUCUACGCCCUCUGCUUCCUCCAUCCAGGCCCUGAACGCCAUCUGUGGUCCCAAGAAGCAGCGUCCCAGUGCCCUAUCCAGCUUCCACCCCCAAGCCUUUCCUGAGCCCCUGCUGGGCCAGGCUCUGAGCUGGGCGUGGAGAAGGAGGGGAAGGCUGAAGCCCAGCCCUCCCGGCACCUGUAGGCAGGAGUGUACCCAACUCUCAGACCUCAGAGUCAGCCAUGGCAGGCGCAAGUCAACUUCAGCUCAGCCUGGUGGGCUGCGGCUGAGCGACGGUCCUGAAUGGCGGCUCAGCGAUCAAUAUCAUUGUGUGACUGCGAGAGGAAGAAAGAGUUCAUCCUGACAUGCUCAUUCUGCCGACCGCCACCGAGCACCUCCUGGGGACCUCGCCCCAGCUGGCUAGUGGCCUCUAAACCAAGCUGCGUCAGUCAGGGAGACACCUAAGCUAUUGUAACAAAGCACCCCCAAAUACAGUGGCUAAAACAAGACAGAACAUUUGUCUCCCUCCUGCAACAGUCCAGCCAGCGCAGGCCUCGAGGGCAGCUCUGCUCCUUGGGAACACUCAGGGGCCCAGGCUCUUUGGCCUGUGGCUCUGCCCUCACCCGGGGGUGGGUGUCCUCAUCUGCAAGACUGAGGUGCAGCGGCACGUACUGCAUCCCAGCCCAGGAGGGGCAAAGGCAGUCAUGGGCUGACAGCUUCCUAUGGAGAACACAAGGAGACACUGCCCACACCACUUCUCAAAUUCCAGGGCUGAGGAUUUUGUCUUGUGGUCCCCCUUGGCUGCAAGAGAGGCUGGGACGUGCCAUCCACUCCUGGCUGGCCAUGUGCCCAGCAUCUGGAGGGACAACCUUCCUUUGGCGGCAAGAAUGAAGCCUACCCAAUGCGUCUCAAUGUGGGCUCCCCUGCAGCCGAGAGUGUGCACUUCCUGGAGCUGCUGUAACUAAUUACCACCAGCCUGGGUUAAAGUCACAUCCCUGGGCCAAAACCAAGGAGCCAGCAGGGCCACGCUUGCCCCAGAGGCUAUGGUGGAGCCUUCCUCACCUCCGCCGGAAGCUGGUGGCUGCCUCCCUCCAACCUUUGCCUCCGGGGCCUCACAGCCUCCUUUCUGUCUGUAGUCAAACCUGCCUCUGCCUCCCUCUUGUAAGACCUCACAUGAUUGCAUUGGGGGACCACCUGGAUAAUAAUGUCCCUAAAGAUUCUUAAUUUCAUCACAGCUACAAUGUCCUUUUUCCCCAUAAAAAGUAGGUUCCGGGCAUGAGAACAUUGAUACUUUGGGGGCAUUUCUUCUGCCUACGAGGCAGAUCCCAAGGCAGUAACUCAGGGCAGGCGUGUUCUUGGGACGUGAUCCCAGGAAACACCAUGGGAUGGGGGAGGAAGAGAGACUUGGAAGGUGGGAAGCCGGAGUGGCGUUGUCAAGCACCCAGCAUCCUGGAAGCCACCGGGGCGUGAUCCCACUGGGUCACCCCAUCAGAGGGAUAGGGCUGAGCUGUCUGUCCCCGCCCCCAAAUCACAGGUCAAGGCUGCUCCCAGGAAAGCUGGAUUCCCUGGUAGCUUCAGCAGUGGCCAGAGAUCCCCCCAGAGAGAGAAACACAGGUGAUGGCAGGUGAAGAAUAGGAAUGACGAGAGCCCAAGUGCGGGGUGAGGGGGCAAGAGUAUCUGCGCUCAGCCCACCCUCCGGAGCCUGUUGACUGUAAACUGGGAGGGCGACAGAAAGAAACCCAGACGGAAAUGCCGUUAGGAAAGGGAAAUUUGCAGGGAGCUCUGACAGUAUCGAGGUGGGCGGGGGACACUCUGUGUCCAUUCUGUGACCUGAGAUGGCCUCUCAGGGAAUGACGCUGAAGCAGGGGCUAGGCAGGCCUUAGGAGCAGUGUGUGCAAAGGCCCUGUGGCAGGAAAAGCCCCAGCCCCUAAGGACCAUGAAACAUCAGCCCAGGAGGCCUGUGGCUGGUGAGCAGUGAGCCGAGAGGAGGCCGAGGGCACCGGCGAGACAGGGGAAAUGUGGGGGACGUGUAGGAGCCAGCCCCUUUCUCCUGCCUGGGGCCAUGGCCUGACAUUCCUUCCUCUGCCAUCAGCAUUACCCCCUCCCCCCAGCAGCUCCCCCACUACACACUGGCCUUUGCUUUCUCCUUCAGCAGAUCAGGAAAGCCCCGCCUUCCUGAGGGACAGAGAAGGGUGUCCGGCAG